AGAGUUUGAUCCUGGCUCAGGACGAACGCUGGCGGCGUGCUUAACACAUGCAAGUCGAGCGAUGAAGCUUCCUUCGGGAAGUGGAUUAGCGGCGGACGGGUGAGUAACACGUGGGUAACCUGCCUCAAAGUGGGGGAUAGCCUUCCGAAAGGAAGAUUAAUACCGCAUAACAUAAGAGAAUCGCAUGAUUUUCUUAUCAAAGAUUUAUUGCUUUGAGAUGGACCCGCGGCGCAUUAGCUAGUUGGUAAGGUAACGGCUUACCAAGGCAACGAUGCGUAGCCGACCUGAGAGGGUGAUCGGCCACAUUGGAACUGAGACACGGUCCAGACUCCUACGGGAGGCAGCAGUGGGGAAUAUUGCGCAAUGGGGGAAACCCUGACGCAGCAACGCCGCGUGGGUGAUGAAGGUCUUCGGAUUGUAAAGCCCUGUUUUCUGGGACGAUAAUGACGGUACCAGAGGAGGAAGCCACGGCUAACUACGUGCCAGCAGCCGCGGUAAUACGUAGGUGGCGAGCGUUGUCCGGAUUUACUGGGCGUAAAGGGUGCGUAGGCGGAUGUUUAAGUGGGAUGUGAAAUCCCCGGGCUUAACCUGGGGGCUGCAUUCCAAACUGGAUAUCUAGAGUGCAGGAGAGGAAAGCGGAAUUCCUAGUGUAGCGGUGAAAUGCGUAGAGAUUAGGAAGAACACCAGUGGCGAAGGCGGCUUUCUGGACUGUAACUGACGCUGAGGCACGAAAGCGUGGGUAGCAAACAGGAUUAGAUACCCUGGUAGUCCACGCCGUAAACGAUGGAUACUAGGUGUAGGGGGUAUCAACUCCCCCUGUGCCGCAGUUAACACAAUAAGUAUCCCGCCUGGGGAGUACGGUCGCAAGAUUAAAACUCAAAGGAAUUGACGGGGGCCCGCACAAGCAGCGGAGCAUGUGGUUUAAUUCGAAGCAACGCGAAGAACCUUACCUGGACUUGACAUCCCUUGCAUAGCCUAGAGAUAGGUGAAGCCCUUCGGGGCAAGGAGACAGGUGGUGCAUGGUU
rnacentral:rRNA from 1 species